ensembl:lncRNA
CAACCAGAAGGGAUGGAACCAGGUUCCACCCCUCCCUAAGCCUCAUUUAAGGACUGGCUGCCCCAGGGAGAGGAUCUCUACCUGGAGAUCCCUUCUUUUGGAGUAUUUGGCAAGCCCUGAUCCUUGGGAUGGAUUGAGCCCAUCAGGCACUGGAAACCCUGAAGGAGACGAGCAAGGAGAUGAGCAAGCAUUAAAUCACCUAGAAAAAUGGCCACGAUGAAGCUGAAAAAAAACCAACCCGCACCCCAAGGUGCCACCAGGAGGACUCUGUCCCGACAGCCAUGGUGGGAACAGCUCCCGCACCCCCCAGUGCCAUCUCCGAGCUCUGCCAGGAGGAGAGAAGCAAAAAAACACUCGAGCAGCCAGGAGACGAUCCCUCCAUCGAUUGUGUAAACUGUCAGUGGAGUGGCAAGGAGCAUUUUUUUUUAUUUAUUUCUAUCCCAGGGAAUAAUCCAGCCCGAUAAUUAGUACAUAAGAGAUAAGUGGAAAAUGAGACAUCUAGCGAGGGUGGUUCGAGGCUCCUCAUGACAUUGAUAAUGUGCAGAUACAUAGAUCACUGUCGGGGCCAACCGCCACCACGAGCCCGUGUCUUCCCAUUGCCUCAUCAAUCCAUCAUCCGCUUAGCUGCUGACACCUUGGCAGGCACACACCACCGGCCCCGCAUUAGAAUUGCAAGGAGCGGGCUCCACCGGGGAAUACAGAUUUAAAAAUCUAAGAUUCAAAUUUGUUUAAGUAUUGUGAACAGCAAUUCCCUCGCAAGGCAUCUUCAUUGCCCUUUUGCCAAGGGGGAACAGUUGGGUCUUUGUUAGAAGUACAAAUUGCUUCUUAAUGCAAAGGAUAAAGCGGAGCCCAGGCACCUCCUUAGAAUUCCUCCUGGCUCCCGCUAAUGCUGCUGCAUGUCAAUUUUAAUUUUUUGAAAUUUAAACCGAGGGCUUUGUGUCUAAG